ACAGUGGACGCGAGCAUCUGUGGCCAAGUUUUUAAGGGCGCACGGUGGAUGCCUUGGCACCAGGAACCGAUGAAGGACGUGGGAGGCCACGAUAGGCCCCGGGGAGUCGUCAACCAGGCUUUGAUCCGGGGGUGUCCGAAUGGGGAAACCCGGCAGUCGUCAUGGGCUGUCACCCUUGCCUGAACACAUAGGGCAAGUGGAGGGAACGCGGGGAAGUGAAACAUCUCAGUACCCGCAGGAAGAGAAAACAACCGUGAUUCCGGGAGUAGUGGCGAGCGAAACCGGAUGAGGCCAAACCGUAUGCGUGUGAGACCCGGCAGGGGUUGCGCAUGCGGGGUUGUGGGAUCUCUCUU
rnacentral:rRNA from 1 species